CCUACGUGUGGCAGCAGUGGGGGAUAUUGCACAAUGGGGGAAACCCUGAUGCAGCGACGCCGCGUGGGCGAAGAAGGAUUUCGGUAUGUAAAGCCCUAUCAGCAGGGAAGAAGAAAUGACGGUACCUGAGUAAGAAGCACCGGCUAAAGACGUGCCAGCAGCCGCGGUAAUACGUAUGGUGCAAGCGUUAUCCGGAGUUACUGGGUGUAAAGGGAGCGUAGACGGCAGGGCAAGUCUGGAGGGAAAGGCGGGGGCUCAACCCCCGGACUGCUCUGGAAACUGCCAGGCUGGAGUGCAGGAGAGGUAAGUGGAAUUCCUAGUGUAGCGGUGAAAUGCGUAGAUAUUAGGAGGAACCCCAGUGGCGACGGCGGCUUACUGGACUGUAACUGACGUUGAGGCUCGAAAGCGUGGGGAGCAAACAGGAUUAGAUACCCCUGUAGUC
rnacentral:rRNA from 1 species